UACGAAGGGGGCUAGCGUUGCUCGGAAUCACUGGGCGUAAAGCGCACGUAGGCGGAUUGCUAAGUCAGGGGUGAAAUCCUGGAGCUCACCUCCAGAACUGCCUUUGAUACUGGCGACCUUGAGUCCGGGAGAGGUGAGUGGAACUGCGAGUGUAGAGGUGAAAUUCGUAGAUAUUCGCAAGAACACCAGUGGCGAAGGCGGCUCACUGGCCCGGUACUGACGCUGAGGUGCGAAAGCGUGGGGAGCAAACAGG
rnacentral:rRNA from 1 species